rnacentral:tRNA from 1 species
AGUCCUGUAGUUCAACGGUAGAGCAAUUGCCUUACAAGCAAUAAGUUGCAGGUUCAAAUCCUGCCAGGACUACCA